AACGAACGCUGGCGGCAGGCCUAACACAUGCAAGUCGAGCGCCCCGCAAGGGGAGCGGCGGACGGGUGAGUAACGCGUGGGAACGUACCCUUUGCUACGGAAUAGCCUCGGGAAACUGGGAGUAAUACCCGUAUGUGCCCUUCGGGGGAAAGAUUUAUCGGCAAAGGAUCGGCCCGCGUUGGAUUAGGUAGUUGGUGGGGUAAUGGCCUACCAAGCCGACGAUCCAUAGCUGGUUUGAGAGGAUGAUCAGCCACACUGGGACUGAGACACGGCCCAGACUCCUACGGGAGGCAGCAGUGGGGAAUCGUUAGACAAUGGGCGCAAGCC
rnacentral:rRNA from 1 species